AGAGCCCAGAUUGGGACGUUAACAGUGACAAGGGACAAAAUACCUGAAAGAGAAGACUCAAAAGUUCUUGGAAAUUGACUGAUUUUAUAUACAUGUGUGUGCACAUGCAUAUACAUAUACACGUAGAUAUAUUUGUACGCAUACACAGGAGUGAUAGGUAACACCAAGGUUUGGGGCCUAUGUGAUGCUUUGGGGCCUGUGUGAUGCUUUGGACAAGCUGAUUUUGUGGGAGAAGGUGCUGUUUGGUAUUUAGCAAUGUUGAGUUUGAGGAAAUCGCAGAAAAUUCAGCUACAGAUAUAUAGAAAAUGGAAAGAAAUUGGAACCAAUGCUAAGGAGGAUGUUCUGGAAAUCUAGGUGUAGAAAUGUUUUGCUGGCCGGGCACAGUGGCUCACACCUGUAAUCCCAGCUAUUUGGGAGGUGGAGGUAGGAGAUCUCUUGAGCCCAGGAGUUCAAGGCUGCAGUGAGCGCGAUCGUGCUCCUGCACCCUGGCCUGCGAGACAGAGAGAUACCCGGUCUCUAAAAACAAAACAAAACCAGAAAAGAAAAAGAGAGAAAUCUUUUGCCUAGUGGUAACAGGAACCAUCUUGGGAAUGAGUAAACUCUUUAAAAAAUAAGGGAAGACCGGCCAGGCGCAGUGGCUUACGGUUAAUCCCAGCACUGUGGGAGGCCAAGGCGGGCGGAUCACCUGAGGUCGGGAGCUCAAGACCAGACUGACCAACAUGGAGAAACCCCGUCUCUACUAAAAAUACAAAAUUAGCCGGGGUGGUGGCAUAUGCCUGUAAUCCCAGCUAUUCGGGAGGCUGAGGCAGGAGAAUCGCUUGAACCCGGGAGGAGGAGGUUAUAGUGAGCUGAGAUUGCGCCACUGCACUCCAGCCCGGGCAACAAGAGCGAAACUCUGUCUCAAAAAAAAAAAAAAAAAAGGGAAGAACAAAAGACGGAGAAGUAAAAUCAGAAGUACAUACACAUUUAAGAAGUCAGGGCUGGGCGCGGUGGCUCACGCCUGUAAUCCCAGCACUUUGGGAGGCCGAGGUGGGUGGAUCACGAGGUCAGGAGAUUGAGACAACGGUGAAACCCCGUCUCUACUAAAAAUGCAAAAAAAAUUAGCCGGGCGCGGUGGCGGGCGCCUGUAGUCCCAGCUACUCAGGAGGCUGACGCAGGAGAAUGACGUCAACCCGGGAGGCGGAGCUUGCAGUGAGCCGAGAUCGCGCCACUGUACUCCAGCCUGGGCGACAGAGCGAGACUCUGUCUCAAAAAAAAAAAAAAAAAAGAAGUCAGAAGAGGAAAAUAAGUUAAUUGAUGGAUACAGAGAAGCAGUGGUGAGCAACAAAUAACAGAACCAGGAAAAGUAUGUCAAGAAGCCAAGAGUUUCCUGCUUUUUAGUCCAUUGCACAGCGCCACUAUGUGGACCCCGAGGGGAAUGAAGCCUCCCAUUCUGUUGAAAAUGGAUAUUAAAGGGCCCAGGGCUGGCCUGGCAGCUGUUUGCUCACCGGUUUUGGAUGCAGCCUCUGCAGCAAAGUCAGCAGCAAACUUCUUGAGGACC